GUCCUCUAGGGGCUCACAGGGAAGGGGCAAGGAGCCAAAGCCACACACUGGGUUCGGCUCGCCUUGGGAAAGUUCACUGAUUCCUUCUUAUUUCAAUUCUCUGUCCAUAAGAUGUACAUCAUAACCCUCCUCAUCGUCCCUCACAGCGACGCCGGAAGGAGAAAGCGAGAACAUCCUCUGACAAGAAACUGCUACGCAAAUGCAAAGAAUCGUCGUCUCUAUCCAGUGCUGCUCUCAAGUGAUUUCAGAAACAACAGAGCUAUUAGGACUUAGGAGCUGACGUGACCAAGAAGGUUUGCCUUACGUCCCCCACCGUGGAAUUUUUCAGGGAUCUGUGCAGGACUGGGAACCCAGGCCAAAGAGAAAAUUACCAAGAAGAGAAUCUGUAAUCUCAUGAGCCAGAGAUGACUGCUGUUGCCAUUGCUGUGUGUGUCUGGGGAGGGUUUCGACAGGCAGAGACAGUGGCAGGCUACCCUAGCUGGAAGACACGUCUUGAGUGGAAGCUCUGGUGUGGGAAAGGCCGAGACCUGAGACCAGAAGCCCAGCCAGCCAGCCAGCCACUGUGCUCUUCAGUCAGACUCAGGACGCAAUGGAACUUAUUGACGUCGCCAUCCCACUUAGAAGAAAUACCGCCAAAACCCCUGGGGGAAAACACUCACGUCCAAAGCUGUGGCAGAGUUGCAAAGGGAGCGUGGGACCCGACAAAGAGGUUUUAGGCCGUGCCGUAGGUUCCUAGUUCUUCUUCUGGAUCCCAGAGGAAAGGGGUGACCUUUUAAGAACAACUUUCUCUGAACCAGGCAUUUGACUAGCUGCUCUGUGGACAGUAUCUCACCUCAUCUUUACAAGGUUAGUUUUUUUAAAUCUCCAUUUUAUGGAUGAGAUAACUGAGGUUCAGGGAGAUUAAGUUGCCUGUGGCUGGUAUGUGUUCCUCUGUGUUUCCUCUGAGGAUCCUGGCGAUGCUCAGGAAAUGACAGUGUGGCAUUAGGACUCUGCCAUCUCUAAGGGCAGCUCAGGUUGAGGGCUGGGGUCUGCAGAGAGUGGGGCAUAGUGGGAGGGGCUUGUAUAGACAGGAAGGAAGAGAAUGUCCAAGGUCAGAGUGCCCCAGAGCCACAGCAAGCUGAAUGUUGGUGGUGGCUGGUGUUGUCCACUGUCCUUGUGAAGCCUGGGUGAUUGCAAGUCCCUGAAGGGCCUCUGCCACUCACUUCCUGCUACCAGAUUC
rnacentral:lncRNA from 1 species